rnacentral:rRNA from 1 species
GACGAACGCUGGCGGCGUGCUUAACACAUGCAAGUCGAACGGAAAGGCCUGCUUUCCCUUGUGGAUUGCGGGUACUCGAGUGGCGAACGGGUGAGUAACACGUGAGUGAUCUGCCCCCAACUUGGGUAUAAGCCUGGGCAACUGGGUCUAAUUCCCGAUAGGACUGCAGGGUGGUGCCUGUGGUGGCAAACGAUUUUCUCGUGGUUGGGGAUGAGCUCGCGGCCUAUCAGCUUGUUGGUGGGGUAAUGGCCUACCAAGGCGGCGACGGGUAGCGGGCCUGGGAGGGUGGACGGGCACAUUGGGACUGCGAUACGGCCCAGACGCCUACGGGAGGCAGCAGUGGGGAAUAUGGCACAAUGGGCGGAAGCCUGAUGCAGCGACGCCGCGUGGGGGAUGACGGCCUUCGGGUUGUAAACUCCUUUCGACCGCGAGGAAGCCACCUGGUUGGAAGGGUGGUGACGGUAGUGGUAGAAGAAGCACCGGCUAACUACGUG